CAGUAGCCACGGGAAUACGAGGGGGGCAAGCGUUGUUCGGAAUUAUUGGGCGUAAAGGGCGCGUAGGCGGUUUGGCAAGUUUGGUGUGAAAUCUUCGGGCUCAACUCGAAGUCUGCAUCGAAAACUGCCGGGCUUGAGUAUGGGAGAGGUGAGUGGAAUUUCCGGUGUAGCGGUGAAAUGCGUAGAUAUCGGAAGGAACACCUGUGGCGAAAGCGGCUCACUGGACCAUAACUGACGCUGAGGCGCGAAAGCUAGGGGAGCAAACAGGAUUAGAUACCCCUGUAGUCCCUGUCUCUUAUAA
rnacentral:rRNA from 1 species